GCCGGGGCCGCUCGGCGCGGGCCGGCCCCGGACACUUGGGCACGGCGCGGGGCGGGCGGGGGCGGAGAGGGGCGGCUCGGCUCGGCUCGGCUCGGCUCGGCUCGGCUCGGCGCGGCCCCACCGGCACUCGGCUGGACGCUCUUGCUCGGCACUGCCGCAGCCGCGCAGCCCGCGGGGACGAGAGAGCCAAGCUGCCAUGGGGAGCUGCGGCACAUGGGCAUGGCAGGAGCUGCUGGUGCUGCUAAGCAGCCUGUGGCUCUGGGUGGGCAGUGCCCAGCCCACGCCCCCGGGCCCCACACACGCCCCCGGACCCCAGCUGAAGUUUCGCCUGGCUGGCUACCCACGCAAGCACAACGAGGGCCGUGUCGAGGUCUUCUACAACGACGAGUGGGGCACCAUCUGCGACGAUGACUUCACGUUAGCCAACGCGCAUGUGCUGUGCCGGCACCUCGGCUUUGUGGCCGCCACUGGCUGGGCCCACAGUGCCAAGUAUGGCAAAGGCGUCGGGCGGAUCUGGCUGGACAAUGUGAAUUGUGCCGGAGGUGAGAAGAGCAUUGGGGACUGCAAACACCGGGGCUGGGGGAACAGCGACUGCAGCCAUGAGGAAGAUGCAGGUGUCAUCUGCAAGGACGAGCGCAUCCCAGGCUUCAAGGACUCCAAUGUCAUUGAGACCGAGCAGAGCCACGUGGAGGAGGUCCGCCUGCGGCCGGUGGUGUCUGGGGCCCGGAGGCAGCUGCCGGUGACGGAGGGCAUCGUGGAGGUGCGCUACAAGGAUGGCUGGGCACAGAUCUGCGACGAGGGCUGGGACAGCCAAAACAGCCGUGUCGUCUGUGGCAUGAUGGGCUUCCCUGCUGAGAAGAAGGUGAACAGGAACUUCUACAAGCAGGCCAAAUCUCAGCCUAAACAAAAGCGCAGGGAGGACAUAGGGUCCAAGAAGAGGCUCUUCUCGGAGCGGCAGCAGCUCAACUACCGCCUGCACUCUGUGUCCUGCACGGGGACGGAGGUGCACCUCUCCAUGUGCACCUUCGAGUUCUACCGGGGCAAUGCCUCAGCCGCCUGCGGGGCUGGCAUGCCCGCUGUCGUCAGCUGCGUGCCUGGGCCCCUCUUUGCCACUGGCAAUGCCCACAAGAAGAAGCAGCGCCAACAGCAGCAGGGCCAGCCGCGGAUCCGGCUGAAGGGCGGCGCGAAGGUCGGCGAGGGCCGCGUCGAGGUGCUCAAGAACAGCGAGUGGGGCACGAUCUGUGACGACCGCUGGAACCUGCUGUCAGCCAGCGUGGUGUGCCGUGAGCUGGGCUUCGGCAGCGCCAAGGAGGCCCUCACCGGCGCACGCAUGGGCCAAGGGACGGGGCCCAUCCACAUGAACGAGGUGCAGUGCCUGGGCACCGAGAAGUCCCUUUGGAGCUGCCCCUUCAAGAACAUCACACAAGAGGACUGCAAGCACACAGAGGAUGCAGCCAUCCGCUGCAACAUCCCCUACAUGGGCUACGAGAACCUGAUCCGCCUAGCCGGUGGGAGGACAGCGUUUGAGGGCCGCGUGGAGGUGAAGCGAGGCAGUAAGUGGGGCACGGUGUGCAGCGAUGGCUGGACCACCAAGGAGGCGAUGGUGGCCUGUCGCCAGCUUGGCCUGGGCUACUCCCUGCACGCAGUGACGGUAGGUGCCGGCGGGGAGGCCCCUGGUGACACCCCAGCGAGCACAGGCACCGGAGCUUCCCUGACGGCUGCAGGGGGGCAAAGGGAUGCGGCCGCUCCGUGCUGUGGGAUGGGACCCUUGCGGGCAGCCUGGGUACGUGGGCAGCGCUGCGGCAUGGCUAGGUGCUGGCUGCAGCCUGGGUGCGUGCGAGCCGUGUCACCCACAGUAGCCAGCCCUGCCACCCAGUCUGUCUCACCUCCUCCCCAGGAGACGUGGUACUGGGAUGCCAGCAACGUGACAGAGAUGGUGCUCAGCGGGGUGAAGUGCGCCGGCCAUGAGAUGUCCCUGAGCCACUGCCAGCACCACAGCGCCAGCCUGAACUGCAAGAACACGGGCACCCGCUUCGCCGCAGGCGUCAUCUGCUCUGAGACCGCCUCCGACCUGCUGCUGCACGCCCCGCUGGUGCAGGAGACAGCGUACAUUGAGGACCGUCCGCUGCACAUGCUGUACUGCGCCGCCGAGGAGAACUGCCUCUCCAGCUCGGCCCGCCUGGCCAACUGGCCCUAUGGGCACCGGCGCCUGCUCCGCUUCUCCUCCCAGAUCCACAACAACGGCCGCGCUGACUUCCGCCCCAAGGCCGGACGGCACUCCUGGGUCUGGCACGAGUGCCACCGGCACUACCACAGCAUGGAUAUCUUCACCCAUUACGACAUCCUGACCCCCAAUGGCACUAAGGUGGCGGAGGGACACAAGGCCAGCUUCUGCCUCGAGGACACCGAGUGCGAGGAAGCAGACGUGGCCAAGCGGUACGAGUGUGCCAACUUUGGGGAGCAGGGCAUCACUGUGGGCUGCUGGGACCUGUACCGGCACGACAUCGACUGCCAGUGGAUCGACAUCACUGAUGUCAAGCCAGGCAACUACAUCCUGCAGUGCCCCACAGGUCGUGAUCAACCCCAACUUUGAGGUGGCAGAGAGCGACUUCACCAACAAUGCCAUGAAAUGCAACUGCAAGUACGACGGGCACCGCAUCUGGGUGCACAGCUGCCACAUCGGUGAUGCACUCAGUGAGGAGGCCAACAAGCGGUUUGAGCAGUACCCAGGUCAGCUCAACAACCAGAUCUCAUAGGGCCCCAGCCCCUGGGGAGACAGGCAUCCCCCUCCCUCACCAUGCACAGGUGGGAGGAAGCUGCUGGGGGGCCAGCGGGGAAGCCUCACGCCUGGCACCGCCGCCAUCGUGCCCUGCUGGGGACUGCCCAGGACUCUCGCUGUCACCAGCUGCCCUUCCCCACCUUGGGGAGCUGGUGCUGGAGGCACUGCACACCUGCACCUCCCAGCCUGGGGCCACCAGCCCAACCACUGGCCAGAAGACUCUGUGCCCACAGCCCCCGGGCUGCGGCACAUGGGUACGGUCUGGGAGGUCCUGUACCCCCACCAUGGCCCCCUCUGCUCCCAGUCCCUGCCGUCCCAGCUGCACCCCACCUCCUGCUCCCCCAUCCUGCCCUGGUUCCUCUCAGCCCCAGAGCCCUCCCUAGGGCUCUGCCCUCAGCUGGCCCGCCCCAGGACCCACUGCCCACACAGGGACUCACCCCUGCACAGCACCGGCUGAGCCCCCAGGAGCCCCUUACCCGCAGGGGAUGGUGUGGCUGCCCCUGCCCUGGCAGCACUGCCUCCAGCUGCCCGGCAGCAGCUCCCACACCCAUCUCUUAGUUGUAAUUUUAUUUUCUCUAUAAAGUUGUUAGUUCUAUUUC